GAUGACAUAAUUCAUGUGAAUCAUACCCUUAAAUUUCUGAAGCCUGUUUUUACACAACAGCGAGAGCCAGAAUCCUACCCACACACUCAAUAUGAGGAAGGGCAAUCUCAGGCAAAACACUCUCAGGAAGAGCAACCUCAAAUGGGGCAGUCACAGGAAGAGCAACCUCAAAUGGGGCAGUCACAGGGAGAGCAGCCUCAAAUGGGGCAGUCUCAGGCAAAGCACACUCAGGGAGAGCAACCUCAAAUGGGGUGGUCUCAGGCAAAGCACUCUCAGGGAGACCAGCCUGAAGAAGGGCAGGGAGGGCAAUCUCAAGAAGAACAAUCUCAGGCAGGGCCAUAUCCGGGAUGUCAACCUCAUGCAGGGCAAUCUCAUGCAUCACAAUCAACUUAUGGUGGUUGGAAUGGUUUAGAGGAGAACUUUUGUGAUCAUAAGCUAAGUGUGAACAUCGACGAUCCCAGUCGUGCUGACAUAUACAACCCGCGUGCCGGUACGAUAACCCGUCUCAACUCCCAAACGUUCCCCAUCCUUAACAUCGUGCAAAUGAGUGCUACAAGAGUACAUCUCUACCAGGUAAUUAUGAUAUUGUGUUUUUUCAUACUCUUUUAUAUUCAAAGCUUCACAAUGCAAUCUUAACGUUAUACCUUACAUAAUUUAUGAUCGCAGAACGCCAUUAUUUCACCAUUAUGGAACAUUAAUGCCCAUAGUGUGAUGUACAUGAUCCAAGGACAUAUCUGGGUUCAGGUUGUCAAUGACCAUGGUCGAAAUGUGUUCAAUGACCUUCUUAGCCCGGGGCAACUAUUAAUCAUACCACAGAACUAUGUUGUUCUGAAGAAGGCACAACGUGAUGGAAGCAAGUACAUUGAAUUCAAGACUAAUGCGAACUCCAUGGUUAGUCACAUCGCAGGAAAGAACUCAAUUCUCGGCGCCUUGCCCGUUGAUGUCAUCGCCAAUGCAUACGGCAUCUCUAGGACAGAAGCUCGAAGCCUCAAAUUUAGCAGGGAAGAGGAGUUGGGAGUAUUCGCUCCUAAAUUCAGUCAAAGUAUCUUCCGUAGUUUUCCUAACGGCGAAGAAGAGUCGUCUUAAGAGCGCAUGAGAUAAUGUCAAAACUAGCUCAUGGACUAAAAUAAACACAUCAUUGAGUGUGUAGCACUUUGAUGUUUCCAUAUAUGGUCGUCUCAAUAAGAUAUCAACAAAGGUCCAUUGUGUUUCAUAUGUUUAUCUUUCUGGAAAUUUCAUGAACUUUGUUUUGCAAGUUGCAUUCAUGAAUUCUUCAUCUAGAUAGUGUGGAUAUGUUAUCGUAUUUGUACACUAUUCUAUGUGGUAGUGUUUUCGGUUUCUCACUAUAGCAAUAAAAAUUCUCACCAUAGCAAUAAACACCAAUGUGUUUUUCGUUUGUGUUUGCACUGGCAUACACGUCACUCACUUGCUAACUAAGCCUAGUAAAAAGCAGUGUGUGGUGGCUACGGCCAGCUCAAUACAUUCUUCUAUGUGCCAUUGGCCCCAUUUCACUUGUGUUGUCUUCUGCAAAAAGUCAUAUGGUUGUUGGGUGAGUAAUUUGUGGUUCACCCUUAAGACGAAUGAAGGAUGAUGUAGAUUUCUAGUGUGCCCUUGAGUUCUUCCUUUGCAAUUGGGUUCAACUCUUUCUAUAUAAGGAAAUUAGGUCUGGCCAUUAUCCAACUUGAUAUUUGAUGGCCGCCACUUUCUUUUUGAAAUUGUGUGUGCCACUAACGAUUGCAAAUAAAUUGGGCACAAGCCCUGUGCGUCGUUAGAGCAAGUUGCCGCCGGGUUCUCACCUCAUUGCCACCUCCUUUGACCCAUUUCUUCUUAUGUGAGUCUCAUUUGUUGCCACGUCUUCAAUAACAGAGGGGAGACUCAUAUGAAACAUCCAUUUGAUGUGUUGGCCAUCAUUUGGCCACGUUGUGAACAAUGAAUAGGAGAGCCAACAUCAGCGCUCGAGCUCCUUCUCUUCCAGCUACCGCCGCACACCAAUUAGGCCAUUCUAGACCCUACAUGUGCAUUUCGAGUCAAUUGCAAGAAACUACCAUAUUUGCGGCUAGGUUUGCGAAAAACCACCAAGUCGCUAAUCCGUUGCAAAAAACACCGCAACUUCUCUAAUCUCAUUGCAAAAAGCACUGAUCGGGUGAUUUGGGAAGUUUAAUUGCUUUCUGACAAGUGGGGCCUCAUUGUAAGGAGCUAACAUGGCAAAAAUUUAACAUGCACACCCCUGAAACAAAUAAGAAAAUGCAAUCAGCCCCCUCCUCCCGAUUUGGGCUGCCGAAGCAGAGCGCAACACGCGGGCAUGGGGCUCGUCGCCGGGGAGCAGAGGGCAUGGGCAGAGCCACACGGCUGCUGCGGCAGUCGGCAACGGAGCUGGCCGGGCGGGUGGGCCGCACCUCGUCCCUGCGGUUCGUGUCCUGCCGCUGCGGCUCGCCUCUGCUCGCUCCAGUGAUGCACUCCGCCGCGCCGCUGCUUGCGCUACCGCAUUAAGCGCCACCGCCCCGCUUCUUGCGCUGCUGCGCUGCGCGCUGCCGCGCCGUUUCUUGAUGCAAUGAUGCGCGCCCCCACCAGCGCUCGAGCUAUGCGUGGCCGCGCCGCUGCUUGCGCCCUUGCUGAGCGCCGCGGCCGCUGCUUGCUCUGCUUCUGCACCUAGAAGAAAGGAGGCGGCGAGCACCUUGGCCCAGCCCGCGGUGGCGAUGCAGUUGGCCGGCGGUGGCUUGCGGGAACGGCGGCGAGGGCCUGCGGGAACAGCCGAUCCCGAAUGGAUCGGGGUAAGGGGGAAUUUGUUUUGGGUGUUGAUUGCGUUUUAUUUUAGAUUCCAGGGGUGUGUAUGUCAAUUCUGUGCCAAGUCAGCUCCUUAAAAUUCGGUCCCACUUGUCAGAAAGCGAUCAAACGGACCAAAUCACCCGAUCAGUGCUUUUUUGCAAUAGGAUUAGAGAAAUUGUGGUGUUUUUUGCAACGGAUUAGCGAGUUGGUGGUUUUCUGCAAACCUAGCCGCAAAUGUGGUAGUUUCUUGCAAUUGACUCUGUGCAUUUCCCACCUGAAACCGCCACGCCACCACCGGCGAGCCCGUUUGCCAUCCCCGCGCGUCCUUUCACGUGCCUUAUUUCCCGCGAGAGGCCGCCGUCGAGUCCAAAAUGGAAGCAUAUAAAUGCAAUUCAUGGUAGUGUAUCAAAUGAAAGAAAAAAAUAUCAGACUUACUCUUCAUAUCAGUUCAUCGCAAGAUGCAAAAUAAAAAUUGGUAUCGUUGCUAUUUAAUUGCGCGCUAAAGGUUCGCUCACUGUGGCUGUCGAUCUUUCUCUUGCAUAAUUAACAAUGAUUAAGAUGACAAUCUAGGCGUGCCCCGUGAAUCAAGUGAGUGUCACGUGUCGUGUGCAGGGCCAAUAAGACAUACAAAUUGAAAUGUAGUUUUUUUAGGGCUAUAUAUAUAGUUUUGACUAAGGAAAAACAUGAUAGAGUAUAUGGUUAAUAACAACAAGCAUGUGUGUCUCGCAAGGCGCCAUCGAGAUGCAGCAUAAAGACACCCGACAGCACAUUAUCUCACUACUAUAUACUCGGCUUCUUGUUGAUGAUUCCUGCUAAUUACUCCAGCUCUCGAGAAAUGCCAACCCUGCAGAUUGUAUGAUGUUCUAUUAUUCUGACGCCGGCUGGCUGGGAUGUGUGCAUCAGUGCAUCGCCCAUUGCUUGCUUAAUGGUACAGCCCUCGAAAUGUUAAUUCCGUGCAGUUGCUUGCUUAAUGGUACAGCCCUCGAAAUGUUAAUUACGUGCAGUUUUUAAUUUCCUGCCGCUGUUUGACAGGGAAGAAAAAAAAUACUGAUUGCCCGGUGGUAGCUAGCUCGCUCGUGCCAGCGGUGCUCAAGAUUUGAUCUCGGGAAGAUUAACUUAGUCGGCUACUUGCUGAUUGCACUCUCGUGAUCUCCCUCCUCGGAAAAAGCAAGGAAUGAUAGACUACUGUAGGUACUUCACUUCGCUGCAGCCGAUAUACGGACCGGGAUUACGGAGUACGUACUGGUCCUAACCUACCUACCAAGCUACCCCUAGCUGGUUAAACAAGUACACUUGCUUAAGACCGAAGAGUAAUCAAGUACUCCAGUACUACAAUAUGCAGUAUAUCCACAAAUGGAGUGUCACUUGGACCAUCGCUACCGGCUCAGUAUAUAUCAUUCUACCUCUGGCCUUUGUAGGCUUGUUGAUUUUUGGGACAAAGAAGAUAGGACGCGUCUAGGGAGCGGCCAGCUGCUCUCUAGCGUUCCCGAGCGGCCACCACCAGAAAAAAAAGAUUCGGCCCUUCUGACCUCAGAAAAGGAAAUCCAGCUACAGACCCACGUCAACCCAACAAACUGCACACAGGACGCGGUCCCCAGGCCAUCACAUGCCCUUCCCUCCCCUCCUGAAGCACUCGAAGCUCUCACGCCCUCUUGGCCACCAACCUUCUCCCCAUGCCCCUACCUGCCCCCACCUAGCUUCUUCUCCACGAAACAAGGGGUUCCCAGUUCUGGAUCUCCAUCGCCACAGCUGCCAUGGCGGAUGAAUCAAGGUGAAAUAACAAUGCUAUGGAACAAUUUACUGCGAAAAAAAGAAGAAAGAGGGAGGACAGAUUAGAAAGUACCAGGCAGCACCAACAAGGGUGAAAAAAGAGGUUGAUCCUUUUCUCCUCAUGUCCAGAUCCUCACUCUUGACUUUCCCUUUCACCCCCACACCAAAUUUCUCUUUGAAAAAUAGCUUCUCCGUACUUAAAAGACAACACAAACAAGGAUAAAAAAUGGAGAGAUCCGGUACCUGUGCAAUUUUAACAAAUUAUUGUGCAACUAGAUCAUAAGACAAGUCAACUUUUGCAGCAAUGUGUGCAACAAAACACAGAAAAUAUGCAAAUAUAUAUAAGAGAGCACAUAUAGAGUCUUACUUCACACAUAAUGCAGAAGAACCAGUGUCACUGUAGCAAAAAAAGAAAAGAAAAAAAGCAUAUUGUAGGUACAAUGAAAAUAUAACUACCAACUAUACAAGAAGUAUAUGUGUUUUUUCCUUUGAUCUUUCCACACAGUAGUAUAUGUGACUUUGUAGCAUAGAAUUGUGUGCAAAAAUCUACAUCAGUUCAUGCACCCCAUAGCCUGUAAAACCUGCACAUGAUGCAAAAAAAGAAGCUUGAGAAAAAAAAAGAACCAACGCUAGCUUGUAUUUGUGCAACUUAACGAGUACAAUUGUGCAACCGACAACACUCCCAUAUCCAUCCACUUGUGGGGUUUGAAUUUCAUUAGUUGGCAUCUUCAACUCAUAUAAAAGUAAAAGAUGCCAACUCAGAUAAUUUCAGAUUCAUUUUGGUUUAGCUAAAAAUCUGUAUGCAGAAUUCCAAAAAUAAACUUUAUGUUGGCUCUUGUGCAACUACAUCAUCUAUUUUGUGCAACUGCAAGUACUCCUGCAUGCAAAUCAUGUUGCGUGUUUAUGCAGCUAUGUAAUGAAUUUUGAACUGAGGAACAUGAUGAAUUUAGCCUAUCUAAACACAAGAAAAUAGAUAAAAUAAUGAAUUUAACAGAUUAUAAUCUUCCAAAUAAGUAGUGCAACUAUAGUCAAGUGCAUUUGCAAACCUAGAAAAUCAUAUGCAUGUGCACACAUGAGGAUGCCAACUACUGAAUGGUUCUUGUGCAACUAAAGAAGUUGAAGAUGCCAACUCAUGUGGCACUGUUGCGCAACUAUUAAAAAAUUGGUGAUGCCAACUCCUGAUUGGUUCUUGUGCAACUAAAAUAGUUGCGGAUGCCAACUCAUGUGAUAUUGUUAUGUGAAUAUUCAAAAAGUUGAGACUGCCAACUCCCAAAUGGUUCUGGUACAACUAUGAAAGUCGAGGAUGCCAACUUGUGUGAUACUGUUGUGCAACUAUUUGAAAAGUUGAGGAUACCAACUCUUAAUUGAUUUUUGUACAACUAUAAAAGUUUCAGGAUGGCAACACCUAGCUGGUUCUUGUGCAACUGCGUAAAAAAUAAUAUCCCAGGUUUCUUUGUGUAGGAAAAAAAAUCCUAAUGCCAUUUUAUGUUACCUCGGCAGCUGCUGCAGACGAUGUGCCAACUCCAGCUACAACUCCAACCUGCGUGGUCGCCUUCCGUUUCCGCCCUUUCACGAAGAGGAAUGGGUCACCAACCUAAAGGAUGCAUGGAAAAAGUAACUUGUGUGUGUGUGCAAAAAAGGGAAAUGCACCCUCACUGCUUGCUCGAUACCCCUGUUUUUGAGUCGAACGAAUAGUCACGACUAGUCGAUGAGUCGUAACUAGAAGUCGACUCAGACACCUCGACUAGAUCGGCACAGCAUGACUCGUCAAGAGUCGCUACCCCAGAACGACUUGUCGAGUCGAAAACUUUGCACGAUACUUACCUCAUCAUCCUCUGCCUCCCCAUCGAUAUCAGCACGACGCGGCUGCCGCUUGGCGGGCUGUUUCGAGUUCCACCGAGAAGAAUUGUUUACAGGCCCCUGCAUAGAACAAACAAANNNNNNNNNNNNNNNNNNNNNNNNNNNNNNNNNNNNNNNNNNNNNNNNNNNNNNNNNNNNNNNNNNNNNNNNNNNNNNNNNNNNNNNNNNNNNNNNNNNNNNNNNNNNNNNNNNNNNNNNNNNNNNNNNNNNNNNNNNNNNNNNNNNNNNNNNNNNNNNNNNNNNNNNNNNNNNNNNNNNNNNNNNNNNNNNNNNNNNNNNNNNNNNNNNNNNNNNNNNNNNNNNNNNNNNNNNNNNNNNNNNUGAAAAAAGCAAACAUACCUCUCCUUCACUAGGAGCCGCAUAUCCUUCUACAACCAUUUUUGGUCUGUGAAAAGAAAAGCGAACAAACAAAUUAGUCGAAGCAACCAAAUGUAUUAAAGAGAAAAAAAAUGAGCAAAAACAAUUGAUAUCAAAAAAAAAUGCCAUGAGGUAAGCAAGUAAUGUUGAUUUUUCAAAGCACUCCUGCAAAACAAAACAAAAAUGUGUGCAACUUGAUGCACUGUAUGCCCAACAGGUCACACAUGAGUGUGCAACCAAAUCAGCAUACACACUGCAUGGUCAUGAUUUAGGCAUUGAAGCCAAAACUAAACUAGUUGUCAACCAUGCAACUAUAUAGCCCUUCCCUGUACAACUGCAUAAGUGUGACUAAGCCAGCUUGGAUAUGUACUGCUUUGAUUUGCAAAUUCAUGUAUGAAUGCAUACCCUUGUGACAACAGAGCACACAUGAGUGUGCAACCAAAUGAACACAUAUACUGCUUGAACAUGGUUUGAACAGUGCAUCCAUCUGAAUACUAUCAUUUGUGCAACUGGUUAGCCCUCACUGUGCAACUUCAUAAGUUGGCUAGCCAAUUGAGAUUUGUAUAUGCAUGAUCCAACUACAUUUGCGUUUCUGUGCAACUAUGACAACAAAAUAGUCAACUGGUUAUUUAUAUGCAUGCAACUUAUUAGAAAACAGAGAAACCACACAAAUACAUUUUCAGAGGAUUGAGCAAUAACAUUAGAACUAUCCUCUCGGUACUCUUAUGUACUUCCCUCCUUCUAUUCCAACUCAAAUCGCCGUCCAAAAAUCAAAACAUACAAACGUUACAGUGUUAGCUGACUAAAGAAAACACUUAUUUCACCAUCCAAUCAUUCAGUUUCUACAAGGAUGAUGGAACACACAUAGAAUUGAACUAUUUUGCUUCAGUCAUGUACUGAGUAGCAGACUAGCACUCAAUUAGAAAAAGAAAAACAAACAUUAAAAAUGUAAAUAUAAACUAGACUCGUGUGCCAGGACUACUAGCAAAUACUACUACACUGUAUUGACAUGCAGGCACCCAGAAUCGCUAGGCUAUGAUGGUCCGGUCAACGAAUUUUAGACGAGAAGGUGUCAAUGCUCUCCCACGGGACCCUUCUGCCUGAAUCAGGCCAGAAUCGCUGCCGGCGCUGGGACCUGACACUACUGCACCUCCGCUUAACAGAUCAUGACCGGAAAGACCACAUCAGACACCACCACCACCGGAGGCUGCUCCAUCUCCGCCAUCACGUGACACAGACAUCAAACGCCACCUUGACCAAAGGAUCCUCCACCUCCGCCAUCACGGUGUCCUGGCACGUGGAGGAGAUCAUCAAAGAGCAAGCAGAUGGGGGGAGUGGGCUCAGUCGGAGCCGGAGGGGAUGGAAUCUUAACCAACCUCGGGCAGACGAAGGAGACGAUGGCCACAUCCCGUCGACGACGGCGGGGCACGGCGGCGAUGGGGCUGGAUCUGGUUGCGCAGGGAGGAGCGGGGCAGUUGGAGAGGACGCCAUGGUGGAGUGGGCUGGUGGUGGUGCGGCCAAGCCAACCGUCGUCGUGGUGGUGCGACGACGACCUCGGGGCAGAGCCACGCGGGGGUGGUCCUCCCCUCCCCCGAUCCGCCGGUGGAGCAUGGUGGCCGGUUAGUGGGAGGCUCCUGCUGGUCGGCGUUGAGGGGAGAGGCCGGUGAGCCCCCUCUAAUCCAGAUCCGUGGGGAUAGUGAGAGAGAGACGCGGGUGCUACGGGAAAGACAGAGAGAGGCUGUCGGUGGGGUGGGCCGGUAACUUGUCAGAUAGCGAUUGUGAUGGCCGGAUCGUGCGGCCGCGAGCCGGCCGCUCGAUGUGUCCACAUAGUACGUAUGCACUUUUUAGAUUUUAGGAAUAAGAUAGGAUGGGUUUAUCAUCGUUCACAAGUGUGAUGGCAUCAGUCUGCCGUGCGUGAUGCCUGCCGUCUGCCCUAGCCUGUGCCCUGUGCGUAUCCGUCUGGCUCUAACAUUGCGUGGUACUAGUAGAAAACGUAGUAUUAAACUGGCAUAUAAUACUCUGCACGGAUCCAUGAUGGAUUUGUGCGGAAAGUGUCGUCCUCGUUAGUGGUGUGAUGGUAACGUGUGGCCUGGUAAUCAGAGCCAGCCAAGCUAACCAGGGGGGAGGACAUAUCUUUGCCAAUCUAAGGGUGUCUCGUGUACUCUACCGGAGUAGAUUAUUCAGUCGCCCGCCGGACCGGAGUAGAGUAUUGUAUGUUAUCCCAAUGGUUUCAAGUGCAGUUCACGCAAACAUGCAUAUGCCGUGGAUCUCACAACCCAAACCUCCAGUAUGUACGGUACUUGUAUAGGGUGGACUACUAGUGUCGUAGCAAUACAGCCCAUCAAUCCAGCCCCCACGUGAUUGUCUCUCGUACUACCAGCUAUGUUGUGUACUACUUGGCUGGCACUGUAUUUGCAGGUACGUGACGGAGACAUGGUAGUAAUGGCCAGCUGACCGUAGUAGCCCCAUACAUUUUGGUUCCCCGGGAAAAGAAGAUUCAAUAUGUCGUGUCAGCAUCCAUGCUUGCACAAUUAUACGAUUCGUGCAUCUUCGAUGUAAUUUUUAUUAUGUUUGAGGUGUUUUGUAUUUCUGAUGAAUCUUUAUAAUAGAUCUGAGCUUUAAAAAAAAUACGGUGGUUAGUCACGUCGCAGGAAAGAACUCAAUCCUCGGCGCAUUGCCCGUUGAUGUCAUCGCCAAUGCAUAUGGCAUCUCUAGGACAGAAGCUCGAAGCCUCAAAUUUAGCACGGAAGAGGAGCUGGGAGUAUUCACUCCUAAAUUCAGUCAAAGUAUCUUCCAUAGUUUUCCUAACAGCGAAGAAGAGUCAUCUUAAGAGCGCAUGAGCUAAUGUUAGAACUAGCUCAUGGAGUAAAAUAAACACACCAUUGAGUGUGUAACACUUUGAUGUUCCCAUAUAUGGUCAUCUCAAUAAGUUAUCAACAAAGGUUCAUUGCGUUUCAUAUGUUUAUCUUUUUGGAAAUUUCAUGAACUUUGCUUUGCAAGUUGCAUUCGCGAAUUCUUCAUCUAGAUAGUGUGCAUAUGUUAUCGUUUUUGUACUACUAUUCUAUGUGGU
rnacentral:lncRNA from 1 species